AAAAAACAAAAAAUUCAAUCAUGGAUUACAAAAAAAAAACAAACAUUUCGAUCAUGGAUUACAAAAAAAAACUAAACAUUUCAAUCAUGUAUUACAAAACAUUCGAUCAUGUAUUACAAAAAAUUCUAUCAUGGGUUACAAAAAAAAAAAAAAACAAAAAAAUCGAUCAUGGAUUACAAGAAAAGAAAACAAACAUUUCGAUCAUGGAUUA
rnacentral:lncRNA from 1 species